AUGAAGAAACAAAUACAGCAGUUUGUACAGUCUUGUCUAGUCUGUCAGCAAGCAAAACCAGAGAGAGUGGCAUAUCCAGGACUGCUAUCUCCCUUACAUGUUCCUGCCAAGGCUUGGGAAACUGUCACUAUGGAUUUCAUCUCAGGCCUGCCCUCUUCUGAUCAAUAUGAUUGCAUCAUGGUGGUUAUUGACAAGUUUACCAAAUAUGGGCACUUUAUUCCUGUCAAGCAUCCAUACACUGCCCAAAAGAUUUCUGAAUUGUUUUUAGACAACAUCUACAAACUUCAUGGCAUGCCUCGUUAUAUUGUGUCAGAUAGGGACCCUGUGUUCACUAGCAGGUUUUGGCAGGCCUUGGUGAGGAGGACAGGAGUUGUACUUAACAUGAGCACAACCUAUCAUCCAGAGACAGAUGGCCAAACAGAGCGUGUCAAUCAGCAAGUGGAGUGCUUCCUGAGAUGUUUUAUCAGCGCUCAUCCAAAGAAGUGGGCAAGGUGGAUUUCUCUUUGUGAAUUCUGGUACAGUACAAAUUGGCAUUCAGCACUCAAUAAAUCUCCCUUUGAGGUUCUUUAUGGCCAUAGUCCUAGACACUUUGGUAUUUCAGCUCCGGAUGCAGUCGAUCCUGUUGAUCUGCAGCAAUGGUUGGAUGCCAGGGAAGUGGUUCAACAGUCAGUGCGCCAGCAUCUGUUGCGUGUUCAACAGAAAUGA
rnacentral:rRNA from 1 species